AUUGAACGCUGGCGGCAGGCCUAACACAUGCAAGUCGAACGGUAACAGGAAACAGCUUGCUGUUUCGCUGACGAGUGGCGGACGGGUGAGUAAUGUCUGGGAAACUGCCUGAUGGAGGGGGAUAACUACUGGAACGGUAGCUAAUACCGCAUAACGUCGCAAGACCAAAGAGGGGGACCUUCGGGCCUCUUGCCAUCGGAUGUGCCCAGAUGGGAUUAGCUAGCAGGUGGGGUAACGGCUCACCUAGGCGACGAUCCCUAGCUGGUCUGAGAGGAUGACCAGCCACACUGGAACUGAGACACGGUCCAGACUCCUACGGGAGGCAGCAGUGGGGAAUAUUGCACAAUGGGCGCAAGCCUGAUGCAGCCAUGCCGCGUGUAUGAAGAAGGCCUUCGGGUUGUAAAGUACUUUCAGCUGGGAGGAAGGGAGUAAAGUUAAUACCUUUACUCAUUGACGUUACCCGCAGAAGAAGCACCGGCUAACUCCGUG
rnacentral:rRNA from 1 species